UACGUAGGGUGCGAGCGUUAAUCGGAAUUACUGGGCGUAAAGCGUGCGCAGGCGGUUGUGCAAGACAGAUGUGAAAUCCCCGGGCUCAACCUGGGAAUUGCAUUUGUGACUGCACGGCUAGAGUGUGUCAGAGGGGGGUAGAAUUCCACGUGUAGCAGUGAAAUGCGUAGAGAUGUGGAGGAAUACCGAUGGCGAAGGCAGCCCCCUGGGAUAACACUGACGGCUCAUAGCACGAAAGCGUGGGGAGCAAACAGGAUUAGACUACCCGAG
rnacentral:rRNA from 1 species